GAACAGCUGAAUACAAAUGUAUAUGACUGAACGUACGCUAUGCGUAAGCGUGUUUGUAAAAUUACACGCGUUUAUAAUGUUAUCAAUGGCGGCUGCAGAUAAUGAGGAUUCUAUGGCGGAUGGAGCCCAUUACUAUGGAUUUAAGGGUGCAGUUACAAUGAAGACGACGGACGACCAUCGACUGUAAUCACGUUUGGUUUAUAGGAAAAGAUUAUUAACUUCACAGCCAGGGGAAAGUCUAAAUCCAUAAGGACUAAAAUUCAACCAACCAACCCACUGAAAGGACUGAGGACAUACAAAGACUAAAUUCACCACAGAUUCGCCGGUCUGCUUCUGAAAUCCAUGGCGAGAGAUACCCUCUGUAUAUCCCCAAAAAAAACUAACAAUAUUCAAAAAGCGUGUACUAAAAUCAGCAGGGCAAAAUUCAAAACUUAAGACACUCUACAAUUUAAUUUUCCUUUAGAGCUAAAAGGUGAUGGACUUCAAUGGCCUAUAAAGCAUGGACUGUCAUCCGGUUAAAUCAUUCCUAGCUGACUGGCAGAUAUUUAUAUUAAGUAAUCUGCGGCUUCUGAACCAGCUUCCAACUAAAUUAAAAUAAACUCGACAGUCAGCUGCAAUGUUCGGUUGUCCGUCUGGUCCUGGUCUGGCGAAUACCUUGAGCCCCUUUAGGGUUGAAAAGGGAUGAUGUUGCGGUGGUGAGAUCCCUCGUUGGAUGUGGCAGAGGUGGCUUGGGCUUUAUUAAUUUUUUCUUUUGGUUUGAUAAUUUUAUAUUUAGUUUUCUUUAAAAAUUUUAGUUCUUGAAUUUUGCACUUUUAGCUUUAUGUUUCCAGUUUCCU